GGCCGAUUGGCUCAAUGGUAGAGCGUCCGCCUCCUAAUCUGGAUACAGCGGAAGGUUGUGGGUUCGAGUCCCAUGUUGGUCG